rnacentral:sRNA from 12 species
CGCCCUGCCACUUGGCAAAAUAUAAAAAUACAAUGAACUAUAUUAGUAAAUUUGAGAAAUCAAAAGGUGAAAGUUUAGUUUGUAAAUGCAUACAA